rnacentral:rRNA from 1 species
UACGAAGGGGGCUAGCGUUGCUCGGAAUCACUGGGCGUAAAGGGUGCGUAGGCGGGUCUUUAAGUCAGGGGUGAAAUCCUGGAGCUCAACUCCAGAACUGCUUUUGAUACUGAAGAUCUUGAGUUCGGGAGAGGUGAGUGGAACUGCGAGUGUAGAGGUGAAAUUCGUAGAUAUUCGCAAGAACACCAGUGGCGAAGGCGGCUCACUGGCCCGGUACUGACGCUGAGGUGCGAAAGCGUGGGGAGCAAACAGG